GUGGCCAAGUUUUUAAGGGCGCACGGUGGAUGCCUUGGCACCAGGAACCGAUGAAGGACGUGGGAGGCCGCGAUAGUCCCCGGGGAGUCGUCAACCAGGCUUUGAUCCGGGGGUUUCCGAAUGGGGAAACCCGGCAGUCGUCAUGGGCUGUCACCCACUGCUGAACACAUAGGCAGUGUGGAGGGAACGAGGGGAAGUGAAACAUCUCAGUACCCUCAGGAAGAGAAAACAACCGUGAUUCCGGGAGUAGUGGCGAGCGAAACCGGAUGAGGCCAAACCGUAUGCGUGUGAGACCCGGCAGGGGUUGCGCAUGCGGGGUUGUGGGAUCUCUCUUCUGUCGUCUGCCGGCGACAGGACGAGUCAGAAACCGUUGAUGUAGGCGAAGGACAUGCGAAAGGUCCGGCGUAGAGGGUAAGACCCCCGUAGUCGAAACGUCAGCGGCUCGUUUGAGAGACACCCAAGUAGCACGGGGCCCGAGAAAUCCCGUGUGAAUCUGGCGGGACCACCCGCUAAGCCUAAAUAUUCCCUGGUGACCGAUAGCGGAUAGUACCGUGAGGGAAUGGUGAAAAGUACCGCGGGAGCGGAGUGAAAUAGUACCUGAAACCGUGUGCCUACAAGCCGUGGGAGCGUCGGAAUGUGCUUGCACAUUCUCGUGACUGCGUGCCUUUUGAAGAAUGAGCCUGCGAGUUUGCGGUGUGUUGCGAGGUUAACCCGGGUGGGGAAGCCGUAGCGAAAGCGAGUCCGAAUAGGGCGAUUUUAGUAGCACGCUCAAGACCCGAAGCGGAGUGAUCUAGCCAUGGGCAGGUUGAAGCGGAGGUAAGACUUCGUGGAGGACCGAACCCACCAGGGUUGAAAACCUGGGGGAUGACCUGUGGUUAGGGGUGAAAGGCCAAUCAAACUCCGUGAUAGCUGGUUCUCCCCGAAAUGCAUUUAGGUGCAGCGUCGUGUGUUUCUUGCCGGAGGUAGAGCACUGGAUAGGCGAUGGGCCCUACCGGGUUACUGACCUUAGCCAAACUCCGAAUGCCGGUAAGUGAGAGCGCGGCAGUGAGACUGUGGGGGAUAAGCUCCAUGGUCGAGAGGGAAACAGCCCAGAGCAUCGACUAAGGCCCCUAAGCGUACGCUAAGUGGGAAAGGAUGUGGAGUCGCACAGACAACCAGGAGGUUGGCUUAGAAGCAGCCACCCUUGAAAGAGUGCGUAAUAGCUCACUGGUCUAGUGAUUCCGCGCCGACAAUGUAGCGGGGCUCAAGCGUACCGCCGAAGUCGUGUCAUUGCAGCAUAUAGCCCCAACGGGUGCUGUGAUGGGUAGGGGAGCGUCGUCUGCCGGGUGAAGCAGCACCGGAAGGUAGUUGUGGACGGUUGACGAGUGAGAAUGCAGGCAUGAGUAGCGAUACAAACGUGAGAAACGUUUGCGCCGAUUGACUAAGGGUUCCUGGGUCAAGCUGAUCUGCCCAGGGUAAGUCGGGACCUAAGGCGAGGCCGACAGGCGUAGUCGAUGGAUAACCGGUUGAUAUUCCGGUACCCGCUGUGAAGCGUCAAACAUCGAACCUAUUGAUGCUAAGGCCGUGAAGCCGUUCCGGACCCUUCGGGGAAAGGAAAGUGGUGGAGCCGCUGACCCAAGAUGGUAGUAGGUGAGUGAUGGGGUGACGCAGGAAGGUAGUCCAUCCCGGGCGGUGGUUGUCCCGGGGUAAGGGUGUAGGACGUGAGGUAGGCAAAUCCGCCUUGCAUGUAGUCUGAGACCUGAUGCCGAGCCGAUUGUGGCGAAGUGGAUGAUCCUAUGCUGUCGAGAAAAGCCUCUAGCGAGUUUCAUGGCGGCCCGUACCCUAAACCGACUCAGGUGGUCAGGUAGAGAAUACCGAGGCGUUCGGGUGAACUAUGGUUAAGGAACUCGGCAAAAUGCCCCCGUAACUUCGGGAGAAGGGGGGCCAUUCCUGGUGAGAACACUUGCUGUUCGAGCUGGGGGUGGCCGCAGAGACCAGCGAGAAGCGACUGUUUACUAAAAACACAGGUCCGUGCGAAGCCGUAAGGCGAUGUAUACGGACUGACGCCUGCCCGGUGCUGGAACGUUAAGGGGACCGGUUAGCUCCAUUUCGGUGGGGCGAAGCUGAGAACUUAAGCGCCAGUAAACGGCGGUGGUAACUAUAACCAUCCUAAGGUAGCGAAAUUCCUUGUCGGGUAAGUUCCGACCUGCACGAAUGGCGUAACGACUUCUCGACUGUCUCAACCAUAGGCCCGGUGAAAUUGCACUACGAGUAAAGAUGCUCGUUUCGCGCAGCAGGACGGAAAGACCCCGGGACCUUUACUACAGUUUGAUAUUGGUGUUCGGUUCGGCUUGUGUAGGAUAGCUGGGAGACUGUGAAAGCCAUACGCCAGUAUGGUGGGAGUCGUCGUUGAAAUACCAGUCUGGUCGUGCUGGAUGUCUAACCUGGGUCCGUGAUCCGGAUCAGGGACAGUGUCUGAUGGGUAGUUUAACUGGGGCGGUUGCCUCCUAAAGAGUAACGGAGGCGCCCAAAGGUUCCCUCAGCCUGGUUGGCAAUCAGGUGUUGAGUGUAAGUGCACAAGGGAGCUUGACUGUGAGACCGACGGGUCGAGCAGGGACGAAAGUCGGGACUAGUGAUCCGGCGGUGGCUUGUGGAAGCGCCGUCGCUCAACGGAUAAAAGGUACCCCGGGGAUAACAGGCUGAUCUUCCCCAAGAGUCCAUAUCGACGGGAUGGUUUGGCACCUCGAUGUCGGCUCGUCGCAUCCUGGGGCUGGAGUCGGUCCCAAGGGUUGGGCUGUUCGCCCAUUAAAGCGGUACGCGAGCUGGGUUUAGAACGUCGUGAGACAGUUCGGUCCCUAUCCGCUGUGCGCGUAGGAGUCUUGAGAAGGGCUGUCCCUAGUACGAGAGGACCGGGACGGACGAACCUCUGGUGUGCCAGUUGUUCUGCCAAGGGCAUGGCUGGUUGGCUACGUUCGGGAGGGAUAACCGCUGAAAGCAUCUAAGCGGGAAGCCUGCUUCGAGAUGAGGACUCCCACCCACUUGAUGGGGUAAGGCUCCCAGUAGACGACUGGGUUGAUAGGCCAGAUAUGGAAGCCCGGUAACGGGUGGAGUUGACUGGUACUAAUAGGCCGAGGGCUUGUCCUCA
rnacentral:rRNA from 1 species